CAUAAUCACUUGUUCUUUAAAUGAGGAGUUGUAUCAACGGCAUCACGAGGGUUAAACUGUCUCCUUUUUCAGAUCAGUGAAACUAAUCUCCCCGUGAAGAAGCGGGGAUAAUUCUAUAAGACGAGAAGACCCCAUGGAGCUUUAAACCCAACCACACUCCUCUUUAACUUUACUUUAAAAUUCUUGGGAUAUUUGUGUUUUGGUUUUAGGUUGGGGUGACCGCGGAGCAUAAAUUAGCCUCCAUAAUGAAUAGAUCUUCUCUUUAUCUAAGACUUACACUUCUAAGAAUUAGCACUCUAACAUAAAAUGAUCCGAUAUUCGAUCAACGAACCAAGUUACCCUGGGGAUAACAGCGCAAUCUACUUCAAGAGCCCCUAUCGACAAGUGGGUUUACGACCUCGAUGUUGGAUCAGGGUAUCCUAGUGGUGCAGCAGCUACUAAAGGUUCGUUUGUUCAACGAUUAAAA
rnacentral:rRNA from 1 species